CCAGGUUCAAGUGAUUCUCCUGCUCAGCUUCCCAAGUAGCUGGGAUUACAGGCGUGCGCCAUCAUGCCUGGCUAAUUUUUUGUAUUUUUAGUAAAAUCAGGGUUUUACCAUGUUGCCAGGCUGGUGUCAAACUCCUGACCUCAGGUGAUCUGACUGCACUGGUAAAGAAAGUUUUGGAAGGCAGCUAUGCUCACCACUAUACCACCAACGCUAAAGAAAGUUUUGACUGUGACCAAUCACAUGAGAAACUCAUGGCACUAAAAAAUACUUACCAUGUAAAUAUUGACUGACUGGACAAUGAAAGUGAAGAAUGAAAUGGUAUUAUUCAACAAAAGGAUAUUAGUAACUACAAUAUGCUUCUUAGACAGGUAAGCUUGAUCAGUUAUAACCAUUUGCAAACACUGAAAGGAAUUGCAUGAGUAUAUUGGUAUCUCUGAGAAUAAUUUGGUGAUAUAAAAACCCAGCAAAACAAUAAAUCGAUAGAAAAACUUACAGGAUG
rnacentral:lncRNA from 1 species